AACAGUUAAGGGCAAACCAGUUGAAAAAUUGGGACGCAAAGCUUACAGGUCUAAGGCAUACAGUUGGAGGGUGCUAUGACGGCUGAGCCGCCUGA
rnacentral:ncRNA from 1 species